UACAGAGGGUGCAAGCGUUAAUCGGAAUUACUGGGCGUAAAGCGUGCGUAGACGGCUAUCUAAGUCGGGUGUGAAAGCCCCGGGCUCAACCUGGGAACUGCAUUCAAAACUGACAAGCUAGAGUAUGGUAGAGGGUGGUGGAAUUUCCUGUGUAGCGGUGAAAUGCGUAGAUAUAGGAAGGAACACCAGUGGCGAAGGCGACCACCUGGACUGAUACUGACACUGAGGUGCGAAAGCGUGGGGAGCAAACAGG
rnacentral:rRNA from 1 species